rnacentral:lncRNA from 1 species
CAGGCCCUGUUGCAGCGCGUGUGAGCAGGGAAGACUCUCCCGGAGGUGGUGCUGGCCCCGGGGGCAGGCACCGCAGGUCUGCGGGUGGGGGCCGGGCUGGGGCGAUAGGCGGCCCGGCCUCACCGGGUUCCCUGAAGCUUCUUCUUCCUCUUGUGGUCGUGGACGAGGCGGAGUCGUGUCUCCACACUCCGAACGGGAUGGAUUUGGAAGAGGUCAAGGAAUUAUCUCACUUAAGGACAGUAUGCUUUGGGAAGUUGUCUGUUGGGCUUUUUGAGAGAAGCUGGGCGUCAUGCCACCAUGGAGGUACCUGGACUGUGUUUAACAAGAAGCUUCAUUGGAUUGUCCUCAAUUUCUCCAGAGUUCAGCUUUGCCCUUUGAAGGAUCUUAUGCCUUUUUCCUCUUCAUUCCAAAGGACAAGUCAAUCUUAA